GGCCUGUUUGGAGAAAAGGUUUGGAACAAACAUUUAAAUACAGGGUUAAAUACACAUUGUUCUCUUAUCUAGUUUGCUUUUGCAGUUAACAUUUGUCUAUGAUGAAAUGUGAUUUAUUCAGGGUUUAAAAGGAUAUCCAGGACUUACUGGUCCUAAAGGAAAGAGUGGACCUCCUGUGAGUUUGACAGUUCUGACAGACACCUAAGUGAUAUAUGCAAAACAUGAGUCAUGACAUUAAUGUAUGAGCUGUAGUAACUGUUAACUGUGUUGAUUUUAGGGUCCACCAGGUCUUCCAGGUCCACCGGGCUUAUCUCUGAACCUAACACUGACUCAGCUAAAAGUAGGAAGCUGAUAAGUGAUUUUAGAAUAUUUCGAAUGUUGCUUAGAAUCCAUUCAUUGUAUAACACAUUUAAUCAGGUGUUAACUUAAUUGCAGUGUGACAAUGCUUUUUGUAUUUUUUCACACAAAUAAGGACCUCAUGUACCUCUCCGACAAGUCCAACUAUCCACUUAUUAAGACCCUGCUAGACUCCCUUCAGCAAGACCUGCGAUUCUUCAUAGAUCCUCCAGAUGGCACUAAGGAGCAUCCAGCCACCACCUGCUUAGAGUUGAUGCUCAGUCAUCCUAACUUAACCAGUGGAAUGUAUUAUAUCGACCCAAAUCAGGGCAGUCCUGCUGAUGCUUUGCUGGUAUAUUGUAACUUCGGUGCAGGUGGACAAACAUGUUUGCCACCCCUGCAGCCACAGGUAGGUUCAAUUUUCCUCGGCAUCUGAUGGGGUCGUCAUAUGUGGAGAAAAAAAAAUUGAUGUGAUAAAAUAGCUGAAAUACAUACUGAAACUUUCAGUACUCAAAUCUCAC
ensembl:lncRNA